AUGUGAGACGGGGGUCCUCAGCUAACAAUAUGUAUGGCAGGCGGUCCUCAGCUAACAAUAUGUAUGGCAGGCGG